rnacentral:misc_RNA from 1 species
GAUGAAGAACGUAGCGAAAUGCGAUAAGUAAUGUGAAUUGCAAAUUCAGUGAAUCAUCGAGUCUUUGAACGCACAUUGCGCCCCCUGGUAUUCCGGGGGGCAUGCCUGUCCGAGCGUCAUUGCUGCCCUCAAGCACGGCUUGUGUGUUGGGCCCCGUCCUCCGAUCCCGGGGGACGGGCCCGAAAGGCAGCGGCGGCACCGCGUCCGGUCCUCGAGCGUAUGGGGCUUUGUCACCCGCUCUGUAGGCCCGGCCGGCGCUUGCCGAUAACCCAAAUUUUUAUCCAGGUUGACCUCGGAUCAGGUAGGGAUACCCGCUGAACUUAAGCAUAUCAAUAAGCGGAGGA